rnacentral:lncRNA from 1 species
UGUACUCUGAUUGUAGCAAUCUUAUAUUUUUUCUUAAUAACAUCUUUUGCUGUUUUGCACCUAGACAUAUGAAAUGGAACUUGAAUAAAUUGGUCAGUAAUGAGCCAAUCUUUGUCAUUCCUUAAAUGAGCUCUCGGAUUACUAUCAUUAUUUCUUCUAGCUAUAUCCCUUUUUACUUUAUUCAGUAUGGACCUCAUGAAGUUCAUAGUAUAACUAUGUUUCCUGCCUAUGUUAAAAACCUUAGUUACUUCUUUGUGUCCUUCAAUCAUGUUUGUGUGGCUGAUGCUUCUCUUAAAAUAUGUGUAGAAGGCAACUUUUUUUACACAAGAUUGGGCCUUCUGACCAGUAAAGAAUAAUUAGGCAGUUAACUAUUUGUUUCUGUAUACCUUGGUGGAAUAAAAGAUCUGUUUGGCUUUUAUCUAUAUG